UACGUAGGGUGCAAGCGUUAAUCGGAAUUACUGGGCGUAAAGCGUGCGCAGGCGGUUUUGUAAGUCUGUCGUGAAAUCCCCGGGCUCAACCUGGGAAUUGCGAUGGAGACUGCAAGGCUAGAAUCUGGCAGAGGGGGUAGAAUUCCACGUGUAGCAGUGAAAUGCGUAGAGAUGUGGAGGAACACCGAUGGCGAAGGCAGCCCCCUGGGUCAAGAUUGACGCUCAUGCACGAAAGCGUGGGGAGCAAACAGGAU
rnacentral:rRNA from 1 species